UGUCCUUUUGUAUCUAGGUAAUUUAUUGCUCUUACUAUAGUGACUAAGUUUUCUACAAGUUUUAGCAAGUAUCAGAAUUUCCUUCCUUGUUUAAGAACACAACUGUUCUACCACUUUCCUGGCCUGACGCCACCUCACAGCUGGUACCAACCAUCUGCAUGCCGGGGGGUGUUCGUGUUCAAUGCAGAUGAGUAAUGCAGAAUUGGGGGGAUCCUGAUGGAGACCCUGUGACGAGCUCAGGCUCCAUCUACUCUUUGUUUUUAUGAUGGUCUCUUUGCCAGUUUCCACCAUUGUGAUGCUCACCCCGUUUUCUAAGUGAUUUCCCAGACACUACACGAUGUCAUGAAAUCUGUGUGACCCCCGUUGUGUGCUAAAUGUAUCAAUCAUGUCCUUGUAGAGAAUGCUGAUUGGGCUGGAAGGUUCAUUUGCUUUCAAGCCGUACUGUGCUUUUGCUUAUUGGGAGCCCCGGGCAUGAGGCUGUCUCUUCCAUUCCUUCCUUCCCAGCCCCGCUCCAGCUCCCAGGCCAUCAUCCCUCUUCGUCACUUCCCUCCGGUGUAAAAGAGACUGCAAAGCUGAAACAAGAGCCAGUGUCCUUUGGAGGAGGUGAUGCUCCCCCUUCCCUGUGAGCCAGGGCUGGUCCUGCCUCCACACCAGAGCGCGGUGCCUCCUCUCUGGUGCUUCAGCCCUGGGUCCUCUCGUCCCCGUUGUGGCGACCACUUGGCUUCCACUUUCCCUUUUCUUCAUGUGAAAUCAGAGUCAGCCCUUUAGAUCACCUUUUCCUUGUGUCCCGGGGCGGUCACCCCAUUCUCUGACGCCAGAAUUCCUACAUGGCCUCAAAACUUCUCACCAUGAAUCAGGGAUCUUCACUUCUUGAAAAUAUUCCUGUGGGACAGAGGCCUGCAGGCUGGUUCACUGUUUUGUCUUGGAUUUGGAAAAUGAAGGCUGUCACCUUUGGAGACAUUGGCUUUUGCAAGUAGAAAUGACCAGGCCUCAGGCAUGCUAAUAGAGACCCUGAUGAUGACGUGGACAAAGCUCAAGUUGAACAAGAUGCUCAGUCUUCACACACAUAAGGAUUGUUCCAUUUUUUUCUUCUAUGAUGGAAUUAUAAAUGUCUCCGGGGUUUUAUAUUCUACUUUCAUCAUUUAACAUUUAGAAACAGCGGUUCUGGUUUGGGGAAGUGACCCGAGGAAACGCGCCGAGACACGCAGGGAAGCUGGUGUGUGGAAGCCUCGCCCGCCCCUUCUCACAGCAGCGCGCGGCUGGGAACAACCCGGAUGAACACCCCAGGGCGGGGUCCAGUAGACUGCGGUGUGGACACGACUGAAAUGUGGCCGUGACAGGGAUCAUCCUUUCCCAGGCAUCACAGGGGGAGACAGAAAGGAAGACGGGCUUGAGGGGCAUGAACGUUGUCUGCUCCCCUCCGAGGCCCGAAGACGAAGGCAGAUGCUUUCCCGGAGGGGCUGAGGAACAGCUCAGGGUUUCUGGACGCCGGCGCCGCCACUUAGAUGGGCCGCAAGUGCCUUUUGUUCGUGGCUUGUCCUGUAACGGAGAAAACAGGGAACAAGUUGGGGAGACCACAGUGGGGUCAAGAAUGUUCGUCUCUUGCGCCCACAGACGCCCACGGACACAGGCCACGGACAUUCACAGUAACAGGAUGCGGCCUUUCCUCAUCAACACAGUGUGUUCACCUGUGAAACGGAGAAUCAGGGAAUGGCAUUGUUUGUAUUUCCUAAACACGCCAAGGGGAUGAACACAGACAUCAACUAAAUCAGAGGGGCUGCUGCUCACUCUUUGGUUGCCUUGAGGUUUUUUUAACAUGUGCUGAGAUAGUUAUAUUUUUUUCAGAAGGAAGAAAGGGCAUGUGUGUGAAAUGCCUGGGGUACAGCAUAUAAGGGAAGUUUGCAAGACAGGCCUGAUCACUUCACUUGCAAAAGCCACCGUCGCCAAAGGGAGACCGUCCUCGGCCAGAUCAAAGAAGAAACAGAAUCUAAAGGGAGUUUUCAGAUGAAACGUGCCGGCUUGUGUUCAUC